GCUGAUGCGUUGUUGGGUAGGGGAGCGUUCUGUAAGCCUGCGAAGGUGACCUGUGAGGGUUGCUGGAGGUAUCAGAAGUGCGAAUGCUGACAUAAGUAACGAUAAAGCGGGUGAAAAGCCCGCUCGCCGGAAGACCAAGGGUUCCUGUCCAACGUUAAUCGGGGCAGGGUGAGUCGACCCCUAAGGCGAGGCCGAAAGGCGUAGUCGAUGGGAAACGGGUUAAUAUUCCCGUACUUGGUGUUACUGCGAAGGGGGGACGGAGAAGGCUAUGUUGGCCGGGCGACGGUUGUCCCGGUUUAAGCGUGUAGGUGUGUGUUCCAGGUAAAUCCGGUUCACUUUAACACUGAGGCGUGAUGACGAGGCACUACGGUGCUGAAGCAACAAAUGCCCUGCUUCCAGGAAAAGCCUCUAAGCAUCAGGUAACAUCAAAUCGUACCCCAAACCGACACAGGUGGUCAGGUAGAGAAUACCAAGGCGCUUGAGAGAACUCGGGUGAAGGAACUAGGCAAAAUGGUGCCGUAACUUCGGGAGAAGGCACGCUGACACGUAGGUGAAGUGAUUUACUCACGGAGCUGAAGUCAGUCGAAGAUACCAGCUGGCUGCAACUGUUUAUUAAAAACACAGCACUGUGCAAACACGAAAGUGGACGUAUACGGUGUGACGCCUGCCCGGUGCCGGAAGGUUAAUUGAUGGGGUCAGCGCAAGCGAAGCUCCUGAUCGAAGCCCCGGUAAACGGCGGCCGUAACUAUAACGGUCCUAAGGUAGCGAAAUUCCUUGUCGGGUAAGUUCCGACCUGCACGAAUGGCGUAAUGAUGGCCAGGCUGUCUCCACCCGAGACUCAGUGAAAUUGAACUCGCUGUGAAGAUGCAGUGUACCCGCGGCAAGACGGAAAGACCCCGUGAACCUUUACUAUAGCUUGACACUGAACAUUGAGCCUUGAUGUGUAGGAUAGGUGGGAGGCUUUGAAGUGUGGACGCCAGUCUGCAUGGAGCCGACCUUGAAAUACCACCCUUUAAUGUUUGAUGUUCUAACGUGGACCCGUAAUCCGGGUUGCGGACAGUGUCUGGUGGGUAGUUUGACUGGGGCGGUCUCCUCCUAAAGAGUAACGGAGGAGCACGAAGGUUGGCUAAUCCUGGUCGGACAUCAGGAGGUUAGUGCAAUGGCAUAAGCCAGCUUGACUGCGAGCGUGACGGCGCGAGCAGGUGCGAAAGCAGGUCAUAGUGAUCCGGUGGUUCUGAAUGGAAGGGCCAUCGCUCAACGGAUAAAAGGUACUCCGGGGAUAACAGGCUGAUACCGCCCAAGAGUUCAUAUCGACGGCGGUGUUUGGCACCUCGAUGUCGGCUCAUCACAUCCUGGGGCUGAAGUAGGUCCCAAGGGUAUGGCUGUUCGCCAUUUAAAGUGGUACGCGAGCUGGGUUUAGAACGUCGUGAGACAGUUCGGUCCCUAUCUGCCGUGGGCGCUGGAGAACUGAGGGGGGCUGCUCCUAGUACGAGAGGACCGGAGUGGACGCAUCACUGGUGUUCGGGUUGUCAUGCCAAUGGCACUGCCCGGUAGCUAAAUGCGGAAGAGAUAAGUGCUGAAAGCAUCUAAGCACGAAACUUGCCCCGAGAUGAGUUCUCCCUGAGACUUAGAGUCUCCUGAAGGAACGUUGAAGACGACGACGUUGAUAGGCCGGGUGUGUAAGCGCAGCGAUGCGUUGAGCUAACCGGUACUAAUGAACCGUGAGGCUUAACCUUACA
rnacentral:rRNA from 4 species